rnacentral:rRNA from 1 species
UGGGGAAUAUUGCACAAUGGACGCAAGCCUGAUGCAGCGACGCCGCGUGAGGGAUGAAGGCCUUCGGGUUGUAAACCUCUUUCGUCAGGGAACAAGGCACUGCUUUUGGUGGUGUUGAGGGUACCUGGAUAAGAAGCGCCGGCUAACUACGUGCCAGCAGCCGCGGUAAUACGUAGGGCGCAAGCGUUGUCCGGAAUUAUUGGGCGUAAAGAGCUCGUGGGCGGCUGGUCGCGUCUGUCGUGAAAACUUCCGGCUCAACCGGGGGCUUGCGGUGGGUACGGGCCGGCUAGAGUGCGGUAGGGGUAACUGGAACUCCUGGUGUAGCGGUGGAAUGCGCAGAUAUCAGGAAGAACACCGAUGGCGAAGGCAGGUUACUGGGCCGUUACUGACGCUGAGGAGCGAAAGCGUGGGGAGCGAACAGGAUUAGAUACCCUGGUAGUCCACGCUGUAAACGUUGGGCACUAGGUGUGAGGCUCCUUUCCGGGGGUUUUGCGCCGUAGCUAACGCAUUAAGUGCCCCGCCUGGGGAGUACGGCCGCAAGGCUA